CACAAAUGGGCUCCACUUGAUUCUAAAUAAUAAAAGCCAAAAUCAAAACAGAAGAAUCAUUUAUAAUCUGAAAUGACUGGUCAGCACAUAGUUAAAACCACCUACCUGGAUAUUUACAGAAAGGUUGCUUAGUUAAGGUUUCCAUUACUGGAAAAAAUCGUUCCAACUCCGAGGAAAAGAUCAAAAUUCGUCCUUACAAAUAUACGAAAGCAAAAAAAAAAAAAAAAAAAAAAAAGGAAUUUUUGACGGGGGAAAGAAGCACAGUGAUGACACAUUCUCUUGGUUUGUCUUGUAAAGGUGUUCUUACAUUUUUAGAAUGAAAGAAGUACAGGCAAAUACCACUACCUAAGGAGAUUCUUAGAUUCUUCUUCUACAAUGAUCAUGGUUUGAAACACAGACAUAAUGUGGUUAAUCUGCAACAAACUAUACACGGAAACUGAAACUGAAACUGAUGAUGGCUGGCUGAUUGGAUGAACUCUGGAUACUGUGAUAAUUGUCCUGUUAUAACUUCAUUGACAGUUGAGGGCAACAACUAGACCUUAGUGAGAACUUCACCAUGAACACCUUUAAGCUUUGCUGUGCAUUUGUGAUUCUUCUCACACUGAUGAAAGGAGCGCUUUUUCUGACCUGUGGGUUUUCUAAGUUUACCGAAGGCCUGAGUAAAGAAGAAAAAAGUUUUAUCAAUAUCAACUACACCAUCAACGUUAUGGCAAGUCCUGAUGUUACAGACACACUUAACGCUGAUUAUCAAGUAUGUGAAGGAAACUCUCUGAGAACUGCAUGUAUAUUUGUCUACGACAAAAACUUUAACGAGUUUAAGAAGGACGUGAGUGGAAGGACAGGAGUCACCUGCUACUGGGAACAACGACACGUGAGCAGCUCUGUGGUGGCUUUAGACAUCUACAUCUCUCAGGUCGUCACCAGGUCACUGAGUGCGAUGAUAAUCUCCACUGGCAGAGGUGGGGAUCCCAAACCUACCCGACUGAUACAUGUUGAGGUGUUGUACCCACCCAAUGUCAAGAGUCUGACUGUGGACGGGGGCGAUAAUGUCAUCAUCGAUGAGGACAAGGUGGUUAGUGUUUCCUGCUUCUUUGAGAAGGGCAAUCCCCCAGGUCUCUUCUAUUUGCUGGAUAAACAUGGAGCUAAGCUGAAUUCCUCUAGUUCUGAAGGACACCUUAGCUACUCUCUUACUGCCCGGUGUGAAGAUGACUGGCCAGUCGUCAGGUGUGAAGGCAACGGGUCGCAACAUAAUAUGUCCAUGGCAAUACUCGUCAAGUGUCGUCCUCAGUUUGUUUACAAGUCAACGAAAAUCAUCAAUCAUGGUGUUGACACUGUAACGUUUGGUGUCAAGGCUCACACCACAGCAGUCAAUGGAUGCCUCUUGACAUUACUCACUUUACAAGAAAACAACACUAGGGAAGUGAACUGCAUCCUUACUGGGAAUCCACCUGACCUCGUCCUAAGUCUUCAGCUCGAGAGAGACGACAGUUUCCGUGGAAACUGGACAUUGAUACUAAGCAAUGACUGGGGCUCUUCCAACACAACUUUCAUUGUGUUAGAUGAGUCAACACCAGAGCUAACUUCAGGGACAACAAUAAACAUCGAACUCGUGUGCGGCAUUGUGGCUGCUGUAGCUUUGAUCGCUGUUGCUGGUAUUUGUGCCAAUAGAAAGGUCAAAGUGCAAAGAUAUGAUACGAUUUUUAAAAAAGGUAAUGACUUUAAAUGUAGCCAAUAAGAUGGCUCUAAUAAUACCUGAAUACUGUUAGUUCUAAUUUUAAGAAGUAAACACACACAGUUUUGUUCAAAUUAGCAAUAGCUAACUUUUAAAAUAUUUUGUUGUGUCGAUUUCUGUCUUUGUUUGUAAUUGCUGUAUGUAUACAUUUUGAAAUGACAGAGUCACCAGCUCUGUUUUGUUUUUGUGAAUUAAGUAAAAUUAGGGGGAGGGGCAGCAAAGAAGUAGCGGAGAACCCCAGAGAAUAUCCGACUUGCUUUAUGUAUCUAAAGUGCGAUAUCAGACGAGUUCGUAUUAAACUGUUGUUCAAUGCACAUCAUCAAGUACGAUCUAUGCGCCCCAGGGUUAAAUGAAGAGAAACUUAACCCUCCCUGUUCCCCACGAGUGUAUUUACUAUAAUUCAUAUAAGUCACCGCUUAGUAUGAACACCGACAGACAUAUUGGAUGUUUGUACGCGUCCGUGGUAUGAGGAAUGGAAAACGCCAGCGACAUCUUUCUUUGGUAAGUACAUUUAAUUUUCAUGGUAUCUAUCUAUUUCAAACAUAAUUAACAUCUAGACUUAUCAAUGAAGUCUUGAAAUAAUUUUCUCCAAAAACUUUUUUUUUCGUAAAUAAAUCAUGUAUCGAGGGAUUUUAAUCAACUAAUAAACGUGUGAAAAUUCUUGGCAUAUGAAAUACAUAGGUUCGCUCCUAGUAUGGUUACUAGGUUUUCUCUUAGUAUGCUUACUUGAUUGAAUAGUUUGUUGGUAGAAAAUGACGACCUUCAGCUCGAAGCAAUUCACACUACAAAGUGAGAGAGAUGAUAGAAGAGAAGGAAACAAGGCUUCCUGAAAUAAAGUCGGAUGGCAGAAUGGCAUAGAGCAACAGAAGACCACUGUUUGUGAGAAGGAUUUCCUGAGAAAGUUUGUUUCCUUGUGUUGACACCGGCCUAAGAGACUUUAGAAGAGGAUCAUGGGCGAAGGUCGAAUAUUCAGCGUGAAUAAACCGAAACUUCGUAUGUCUCUGCAAACAAGAACCAUAGAAGUCCACUUGCGCGUGAGACUCUGGGCAGAGGAAGGGUGUGUGGACUCAAAGUGUUCUCCCCUACGAAAGUAGUACAGAGGUAAAAGGGUAUUCGUCAUCUUCUCUCACACUGCCAAGUGUACAAAUCACAGGCCUACAGAUGGGAGCAGUGAUCCG
rnacentral:misc_RNA from 1 species